ensembl:snRNA
GUGUUGUAGGAAAGCAAGAUAUUAGCACUUCUCUUCACAAAAAUGGAAGAGGCCCUCAGGUCUGUUCAACAAAUAUAUGGUUAGGGAUUGCCACUUACUUCAUAGCAUCAUUCAUAGAUUUAC